rnacentral:rRNA from 1 species
GUACACGCUGUGACUAGCAUAUCAAUAAGCGGAGGAAAAGAAACUAACAAGGAUUCCCCUAGUAACGGCGAGUGAAGCGGGAAGAGCUCAAAUUUGAAAUCUUAAAGGGUUUCCCUUUACGAAUUGUAGUUUAAAGAAGUGUAUUCUGUUGAGGUUUUGGUAAAAGUUCUUUGGAAUAGGACAUCAUAGAGGGUGAGAAUCCCGUAUUUGACCUUUACUUUCAACUUUGUGAUACACUUUCGAAGAGUCGGAUUGUUUGGGAAUGCAGUCCAAAAUGGGUGGUAAAUUUCAUCUAAAGCUAAAUAUUGGCGAGAGACCGAUAGCGAACAAGUACCGUGAGGGAAAGAUGAAAAGAACUUUGAAAAGAGAGUUAAACAGUACGUGAAAUUGUCAAAAGGGAAGCGUUUGACACCAGUGUUGUUUUUCUGAAAAUCAAUUAAAGAACUGUUUAUGCUAAGCUGUUUAGACUUUAUCAGCUAAUCUGUUUAGUUUUGAGCUUUUCUUUAAUGCACUUUUCAGUUAACAAGUCAACAUCAAUUUCUUUUGCUGUAAAAAAGCUUGAGGAAGGUGGCUUGAGAUUCGUCUUAAGUGUUUAUAGCCUCUUGCCUAUGCAGUCGGAGAGAUUGAGGUCUGCAGCGUAGAUCCUUCGGGGCUAAAUGCAUUUGUGCUAAGUUAUAGCAUUUUAUAGACAACUUGUUGACUAUGAUUUGUCUUGUAGCUUACUCGCUUAUGUUAUUUUACCUACGCUUAGGAUGUUGACGAGACUGUCGAUCUC